AGUUUUGUGGUGUAGUGGCACGUCAGAUUGCAAACCUGAUGGCGCAGGUUAAUCCCUGCCGGAACUU
rnacentral:tRNA from 1 species